CAAAUAGGCUAGUUGCCUCAUGUCACCAUUUAUCAUAAUAACUUUUAAUUCAAAUAUUAUUCUGUACAAGGGUCCGAAAUAUAUAAACUUCAAUAAAUAUAAAUAAGGGAUUGCUGUAAAAAUUCAACUGAAACCCGUUAAUUUUUUACUUUUUUUUCUCUUGACUGAAAACACCGUCCGCCAUGUUUCUACGUCACCAAUAUUGUAAACAACAAAACGUCAAACUCUAGUUUCAGGUUAUUCGUGGUCAUUCAUAUAAACGCCUUGUUUUCACAUAAAAAUAUUGUACAGUUCGCAUUUAUUGAAAAUAAUCAUGGAUCCUGAGUUUGUGAAAGCAGAAAGCACAAAUCUGCUCAAAAUCGACACAUUGAUGGUUGCAAAAUUGUUUGCUUUAAAUCCUGAUUUCUGCUCAGCUAAGCUAAGGAAUGUUAAGUUAACUAAGUCUGCAGGAGAAUCAUAUUAUGGUGAUGAUGCAAUUGGUUAUGUUCAACUUAAAAGGGAAAGUAAAAUCUACACUGUGAAAUGUAAAAUGUGUCCUGAACAUAAGGUGCACUCUAAGCAGUAUCAGUUUCAGCAGUCAUUGAUGAAGAAGAAGAGAUUAUGUUGUUUGUCAAGAUUGUCCAGCUGCAGCAGGGGGCUGCAAACAUGCUGUUGCAUUUUUAAUGUAGUUGCAUCGUCGCAGUGAAGAGACAUCUUGCACAUCAGUAGAAUGCUACUGAAAAAAAUCCAAUCAUUCAAAAGUCGGCAGCACAAAACAUCAGGUUCCGGAACCAGAUACCAGUGUUAUGGAGGAAUUUGUAAUUGAAUGCAAAAACCGAAAAAUUAAAUCAUGUCAGUUUAUCAAGCAUGUUGGAGAUUAUGAAGAGGUAAAAAGUUAGUCGGUGCAGAACGCAUGAUGGUUCUUUGGUUGCAAAGAUUUUUGGUGCAAGGUCUGUGUUGAUGGCUGCAAUGAAACGAGGCCAAAAGCCGAUUUGUCCUAAACUAUUUGAAAGUGUAACUCAAUAAUAAAUCAUUUAACUCUUA